GAUGAAGAACGCAGCGAAAUGCGAUAAGUAGUGUGAAUUGCAGAAUUCAGUGAAUCAUCGAAUCUUUGAACGCACAUUGCGCCCCCUGGAAUUCCGGGGGGCAUGCCUGUUCGAGCGUCUCAGGGACGAACCCUCGCGCGGGUGUACGCGCGGUCGUGGCUGCGGUGGCGUGCCCGAGGCGGCGGCCACCGCGCUGGAAUCCAUGGGCGGACGCCUGCCGCGUGGCCGAGCGUGAUAUGACGCAUUGGCGCUCGCACGCGGCGAGGCUGCCAGCCCUGGCCCGUCUGUCGGGCGGGGGAGAGCAAGACACGUGAACUCCUCGAAUCAGGUAGGGAUACCCGCUGAACUUAAGCAUAUCAAUAAGCGGAGGA
rnacentral:misc_RNA from 1 species